GUUACUUCGGUUACAUCGGUGACAGGUGGUGCAUGGUUGUCGUCAGCUCGUGUCGUGAGAUGUUGGUUAAGUCCCGCAACGAGCGCAACCCCUAUUGUUAGUUGCCAUCAUUCAGUUGGGCACUCUAGCGAGACUGCCGGUAAUAAACCGGAGGAAGGUGGGGAUGACGUCAAAUCAUCAUGCCCCUUAUGACCUGGGCUACACACGUGCUACAAUGGUUGGUACAACGAGUUGCGAGUCGGUGACGGCGAGCUAAUCUCUUAAAGCCAAUCUCAGUUCGGAUUGUAGGCUGCAACUCGCCUACAUGAAGUCGGAAUCGCUAGUAAUCGCGGAUCAGCACGCCGCGGUGAAUACGUUCCCGGGCCUU
rnacentral:rRNA from 1 species